GGAUGAAUCUUCCGCAAUGGGGGCAACCCUGACGGAGCGACACCGCGUGAAGGAUGAAGCCCUUACCGGGUGUAAACUUCUGUUCUGAGGGACGAAAUUUUUGACGGUACCUCAGGAGAAAGCACCGGCUAAUUCUGUGCCAGCAGCCGCGGUAAGACAGAAGGUGCAAGCGUUACUCGGAAUUACUGGGCGUAAAGCGUCUGUAGGCGACGUCGUAAGUCUGGCGUUAAAUCGCGGAGCUCAACUCCGC
rnacentral:rRNA from 1 species